rnacentral:lncRNA from 1 species
GUUGAGGCCUGUGACAAAAAUCAUACCUCGCAGAGACAGACAGUUGGAAAGUGAAGGGAUGUUUCAGUAGUCCUUUUUUUCAGAAUCUCACUGCACAUCUUGAUCAAGACCAGGAGCGAGGAUACACAGCCAGUGCUUCACGAGUGCUGCUGCUUGCCAUUUUUAUAGAGGCAGCUCUAUUCCAGCUGUGGAUGUGCGCAGCCUCCUGUUCAUUGAGAGUGGAGAUGUUUCAUACUCAUCAUUACGGAUGCCAACACCCAAAGCUUGACUGAAGAGAAAAGGCAUCCAGCUGCACGGAGUGGGGAUGGGAUUGAGGCACUAACACCCACUUCAGGGGCACCAGGUGUCACUAAUAAUUAAGAUUAUCUGUGGUAUAAAUCCGGCUGUUUCGGAGCUUUCCCUACAACCACUUUGGGAUCCAGCGUUCCGGCGUCCGGUAAGCUGCCCCUCCAAGAGCAGAGGCAGCAAGAGGACGAGUGUACCUCGCACCGGUCCACACAGGGAAAGCAGUAGGGACGGAGCCCGGCACCGCCUCCUGGUCCUCCCUCCAGGGCAACCAGGAAAACAAGAACUAGCAGGAGUUUGACAAACGCCGGGAUUCAUUCACCUGCCUAUUGCUUCAUUCCUGGAAUUUGCACUGCACCUGUCUAAUUCAGGUAUUUGGAAAAAAACAAACUUUGACAUGUUUAAAACAAAGACCCAAACACCCCAGAAUUCCCAAAGAAGAGUCAGACUUGCGUCCUGCUGUUGUCACGAUGCCGACAUGUCAUGGUGUGCCUGAUGGACUGAACUCCCCUGAGCCCCAGCGUGCGAUUCUGCUUUUGGUGUGCAUGCAGACUCCAUCCAAGCAUGUGAUUCCGGAGUCCACUAUCCCCGUCAGCCAUCCUAGAUUCAGUGGGGUCAGGACACUGGGUCAGAACACUGGGUCAGAAAGCUAAGCUCCUCACUUGUGCCCCCGAGUGGAACUAGUUGGAGACUGCGCCUUGUUUCUUGCUUUCCAGACUGAGGCUAAGACCAGAAUUACGCUCUACUUUAUCCUGAACUCUAAAUUCAAAAAUGUUAAAAUAUCUUACAUCUCAAGGGUCCCUAACUAGAGACUCCAUAGACAUAUUGUUGUAUAUUUCCAGAACCAGAGCUCCGUAUUUACAGAAACCAGAACUUUAAAACCUUUCUAAUCAUGUUCUUUCAAAAGAGAUAACAUGACACCCUCCCUCUCAGUUCAUGCUGUCUUAUGCUUCCUGGCCCAAAUCAUCAAGGCUUAAUGAGUUUCGCAAUGCGUUUCUCUCCUUGGUCGAUGGACCUGCUCUCCACCUUAGUUACACCUCUUCUGAGGUUUUCCCCCUGUACCCACUAGAAUGUCCAAGCAGGCUUUUCUGUCUGGCUCUGGCAGACAGUUAGCUUUUAUUUCCCAGCAAGUGUCUAUCUCUGGAGUCAGACACAGAGCUUAGCUGGAGAACCUUUCCCCAUGUAAGUGAACAGAGCCAUGUUUAACUAGGUCUCCAGACGAAGCACCUCAUUGUGCUUUUUGCUGUGAAGAAGUGCUUCUGGUGCUUUAAUAUGUAUGCUCCAGAUCUAAAAUGCCUUCUAUUAGUUCUGCGAACCUCAUCCGUUUCCUCAUUUGUCACAGAAGGAUCUUGGCUAUCUGAUCUCUAAGGUCAGCGCCACCUCUGAGGUCGAUGAGGCAAUUAUUCAUUACAUUUGGCAGAUCCCUUCCUCUUUCUAAAACUCAAAUCUCUGGAAUCAGAACAAAAAUGAUCCCAGGCAUAAUUUUUUCUAAUAGGAUUUCUCUCUUCCUAGUCAUAUACUCAUUUUUUAGAAAAUCAUAGGAGAGGUACCAAUGCAAAUUAGAGAUAAGUAUAUAUCUGAUGUUUAUAAAUCACAAAUUACCAACUUUAAGACCAGAGAGGUUACUAAAACUUCCUAAGUUUGCGACAUUUUAUAUAUCAGUACCAUUUUCCGUUCUGUCAAUUCUUUACUGCCUUAUUUGGAGUUAAAUACAUACAUAGCUUUAGAUUUUCAGAAUCCUGUAGAUCAGAUGAAACAUAAUUGAGAUUCCCAUUCCUCUGUUUUUGCUUUGCAUAGUGGCUGCUAUGUGUAUAAACCAUUCAAUGUGAGCCUAUUUACAAGAGUGUUAAGUGUGAGGAAUAUUUGUAUCCUAAAGCUUAUACUCCAGGAUUGGCCAUAAAUUAGUAAAGUUUAAAGAACUUAUCUGAAGGUGAAGCAGUCACAUUGUCUGGGAGAUCUCAAAUAAUUGGAAUCAUUUUUUUUCUUUUUUGCCCUCCCCCGCUGCCCCCCCCCCCACAUGGCAUAUGGAGCUCACAGGCCACGGAUCCAAUCCAAGGCACCGUUGCAACCUACACCUCAGCUGUGGCAACCCCUGACUCUUAACUCACUGUGCAGGGCCAGGGAUCGAACCUGUGUCCCAAGGCUGCAGAGAUGUUUCCAAUCUCGUUGUGCCAUAGCACAACUCCUGGAAUGAUUGUUUUAAGUAAUUGCCAUGCUUUCUUAAUUUUCUGUAUAGACGACACAGUUCACCAGUGGGUUGACUUCUUCAUUCUCUCAUUUGCUAAAUCCACCCUACCAGUUCCUGAGCCAGUCCUGAUGCAGUUCAGAGGCUUUGUGGUCGGACUCAGCUUGACAGUGCAGAGGGUAUAGAAGGUCCUACUGACACACCCAGUACGUUCGAGCCCUGCCCUUGUUGCCCAGCCCCAGCCACUGCACUGACCCUCCAUGGAGCUUCUGCUUCAAGUUUCCAAUUGACCUGAGUUCUCUUAGACGAAGCCUCAGACCUCUGGUUCUUGUGAGCCCCGCCUCUGGACAACAGGAAACUAUUAAUUCGCACAGCAUCACUAGGUUCCUUCCACGCGUGGGGUCCUCCCCCAGAAGGCAUAGCACUGCCGUCCAGGUAUUUUGCCUGUGAACCACUACUUGUUCUUCCACGACUGGCACACGCACACUACUGGAUGCAACACCCACAGGAACCACAGAGAGAUCUGCCAUUCUACACAGGGCAGCUCCAUGGCUGCCCGCUUUCCAGUUUUUGAGAGUUUUGUCCCUAUUCCUGUCCAUUGCAUCUUGUUGAUAAAAUGGCACUGUGACCCGUUCUGACACUUCCAAACAGGAAGGGAAAUUAUGUGAUUGUUUGAACCAUUCAUGAAUGACAUGGGCAUUCAAUAGGAAAGUAAUUGAGGCUGUUUAUGAAUAUUCCUCUUUUAAAGUGAAAUGGCAUUGAAGUGGUCAACCAUGCAGUGUUUGCAAAGAUAAGUGAGAAUUAUUCGAUAAAGAGAUAAACUUUGAC